CAUCUCGUUCCCUUCUCAGGGAACCGGGUUACAUACCUAACCUGGUGUAGUUCCCUUUCGAGGGAACUUGAUGCCGCGUCAGUGCUGACGCUAUGGGAACGCUGGAUGAGGCAAUACCCCUAGCGGAGUGAGCCCAAAUGCCAAGAAGCGAGGCAAGACCACACACCUCAUAGGCUUGAGCUAAUGGCCUCCACUACCCAGUGCACCAGGUGCUGCUGGGAAAUUGGAUUACCCUUAUUCCAGUCCUCAAGACAGACAAAAAGGCGUGGAGGAGUUACUCCAUGAGCUAAAGCGGUGGACAUAAGACCUCAAGGCCCUCAGUAGGCAAAGGAUAUGCAGCCUCUCCUGUUCCGCCGACUCAUGGGGUGCCGAGACAGUAGGCCCACAGUAUGACUGGACAGCCAGCCAUCCUGUGCACCUUCGAGACAUAUCCUGCCGCAGGGUGCAGAAUAUCCUUGGCCAUGCCAGAAGAAAAUUCUAGGCAGGUGGGGGCAAUCGACAAAGCCUGCAAAUCCCCCACUCUGGAGAGAGGCCAAGGCUAAGAGCACAGCCAAAUUCAUGGUCAGAAACUUCUCAGAGGCUGAACAGAGGUUUGGAGGUGAACAGAUCCACUUCCGCCCGGCCAUAAAUCUGCCAAAUUUGCUCCACCAUGUGGGGGUGGAGACGUCACUCCCCGGGCCUCAGCACCGGCCUCAACAGGAAGUCUGCCUCCUGAUCUACAUGCCCUGGAAUGAAAAUCGCUCUCAGCAAAAAGAACCUGGUCUCUGCCCAGAGCAGAAUCUGAGGUGCCAACCUGAAAUGGGGGCACAAACGCAGACCGCUCUGAUGAUUGACAUAGAGAGCCACCAAAGUGCUGUCUGUGUGUACUAAGACAUGGCAGCCCCUGAGGUGUGGAAGAAAGUGUUUCAAUGAUAGAAGCACAGCCCUCAUCUCCAGGCAGUUUAUGUGUCAUGAGAGAUAGGGGCCCUCCCAUCGACCCCAGGCAGGACGGCCAUCCUAGGCCACUCCCUAGCCUGAAAAUGAGGCGUCCCUCUGGAGAGUCCUACGACAGUGACACGCCCCAAGAGUGGGACCCAAGGCCAGGAGCCAGGGUCUUUCACACAUAAGAAGGGUACGAAGCCCACAGCACGUAACCCUGAGGGGGUGUCUGCAAGGAUGAAAGGCAUCGGCCUAGCCGAAUAGCUUUCACUGUUGACAAGUUGGAAGCCACCAGAUCGGGAGACAGAUGUGCCCGCAUCGUAGUGGAGUCCCAAACUAGCCCCAGACAAGUGGUUCUUAAAAAGAGAAAGCACACAAUUUUCUGGGUCCAACCUGAGGCCUAGAGACCUCAUAUGGGCAAGCAUAGCAUCUCGAGGACUGGCUGCCAUAGCCUUCGACUGGGCCAGAAUGAGCCAGUCGUCUAAGUAAUUCAGUACAUGGAUGCCCUGGAGACACAACAGUGCCCAGGCAGCGUCCAUGCACUUUUUAAACGUGCGUGGUGAAAGGGCUAUGUUAAAAAGAAGAACACUACUGGUACACUUCGCCCCAAAAGUGAACCUGAGGAACUUCCUGUGCUCUGGCAGAAUGUCUAUGUGAAAAUAAGCGUCCUCAAGGUCGAUCGUCACAAAGGUCUUUGGACCUGAUCUGAGACACGAUAACCUUGAGCGUGAGCAUCUUGAACCUGUAAGUCUUCAACCUGUGAAUCAGAAGUUCGGGUCAGAGGCGGUCUUACGCUAUACACCCAAGACCAACAUUUACUGUUCCAUUUACUGCUCAGAGUUAACACCAGUGUGCGAUACGAGUAUCGGGACUCAUGCCAUCUUGUGUUCACCGAGACGUGGUUACGAGAGGACGUGCCUGACUUUUCUCUGGUACGGGCGGAUAGGAACAACUCAGGCAAGACCAAGGGUGGAGGAAUGUGGCUGCAUCACUCUUGUCUUCACCUGCACCGACUGCAACACUUUCACCUUCGUUUGAUGCUCACACAGGGGCACGCGGCAACGAGAACAAUAAAGACUACGUCCACAUGAAUGUAGCUGCAACACGUUCACCUUCGUCUGACACUCGCACAAGGGCACGAAGCAACGUGACCGACAUUCAUCCUGUGAAUGUGGCUGCAACACGUUCACCUUCGUCUGACACUCGCACGAGGGCACGCAGCAAUGCAACUGGGAACAAAAAAGAGAAUGUGUCUGCAUCACCUUUACCUGCUACUCACACACGCCGUAGGUCUCUUUCAGUUCUCAAAGCAACUGAGACUAAUGUAUUUAACACUGACAGUGAUAAUGCACCUGUUGCAAAGAGACUUAAGAACAACAUCCAGGCAAGCAGCAGGCAGUCCUUUCUGUCAUGCAAAACAUGUAAUGUUCCCUUGUGUGUUCAGUUAAAUAGGAACUGUUUUGAACAAUGGCAUGACGACAUUUAACAAAUUUAUAUUUAUAUAAAUAUUUUAUUUAUAUGUGAAGUA